UUAUAUAGCAAAACCAACCACUCCUCAAAAUAAUCUGCAAAACCGACCCUAAAAUGUCGGUUUUGCAAUUGUGUAGAGCAAAUCAAAUGCACGGGACUGCUAGUCCCGUGCAUUUGAUGCUUUUACACGACAACUCCUGACCCCACGCCCCCAAAUUCCCACGCGCACUCGUGAUCUCACCUAAUUCGCUACCCUCCCUCUUCCCUCAUGGACCCCACACCCACUACCUCUCCCUCUUCCUCAUCGCACUCGUGACCUCCCCCUCCUCUCCCUCCUCCCCUUCCUCCGCCUCCGCCGCUUCUCCUUCGUAUCCCAAAGACCUCCACCUCUCUCUCUCCCUCCUCCUCUCCGACCUCAUCCCCAUCUCCCUUGCCCUCCCAAAUAUAUCUGUCAACGAUGCCAGUUUCAGCAUUCAGCGGAUCGACCUCGAGACGCUGAGGACCCAACUCGACCGACUCUACGCCGAGGCCGAGACGACUCGCUCCAAAAUUUUUUUACCCCCCGUCAUUCGUGUUUCUUCGAUUCCUGAUGAAUUAAUUGGAAACUUUGAUUGAAAUGGCGAAUUAGUGUUGUGUGAGCAUGUCCGCCACCUGUUUGAUGAUUUGUCUCAAUGAACCGUUGUUAUUGUUGUUUGGUUGUUCCAGCAGCUAACGCGAGAACGAGGCUGAUGCGGUUGUCCGAGGCAGCUGAGAGUCUACAGAAGAGGGCGGCUAACAGCGUCUUGGUUGGUAAGGAAACUGAGGCUAGGGAGUUGCUAGUAGAAAAGAAGAAGUUGAUGCAAGCCUUGGAGAAAUCAAAGAACCGCAUCGAUGUACUUGAUAAGCUCGCGAUCAAGAUUAAUGAGGUCACGCUCUUCGGCCUAUGUCUCUAAUCCUAGCAGUUUUUGUUAUUUUCUUUGCUAGUAUUUGCUCUAGCUAGCUAAAUACUUCCAUAAGAUUUAUGUUUAUUGAUGGGUAGUGGAUGUCGGGUCCAUGAGGGAAGAGGGAGGGUGGCGAAUUAGGAGAUGGCGUGUAAAAGCAUGAAAUGCACGGGACUAGCAGUCCCGUGCAUUUGAUUUGCCCACGACUGCAAAACCGACCCUUUAGGGUUGGUUUUGCAGAUUAUUUUGAGGGUUGGUCGGUUUUGCUAUAUAAAAGUGAAAAAAAGGCUCUUUUAAAAA